GACAGAAUCCUCGAGCGUUACCCGGAUUUAUUGGGCGUAAAGGGUCCGUAGGUUGUUUGGUAAGUUGAAGGUUAAAGUUCAUCGGCUUAACCUUUGAAAUGCUUUCAAUACUGCCAGACUGGAGGGCGUUAGGGGUUAGCGGAACCGACGGAGUAGGGGUGAAAUCCGUUGAUAUCGUCGGGAACACCAAAAGCGAAGGCAGCUAACUAGGACGACCCUGACACUGAGGGACGAAAGCGUGGGGA
rnacentral:rRNA from 1 species